AUUGAACGCUGGCGGCAGGCUUAACACAUGCAAGUCGAGCGGGGUGAUGGUGCUUGCACUAUCACUUAGCGGCGGACGGGUGAGUAAUGCUUAGGAAUCUGCCUAUUAGUGGGGGACAGCAUCUCGCAAGGGAUGCUAAUACCGCAUACGUCCUACGGGAGAAAGCAGGGGAUCACUUGUGACCUUGCGCUACUAGAUGAGCCUAAGUCGGAUUAGCUAGUUGGUGGGAUAAAGGCCUACCAAGGCGACGAUCUGUAGCGGGUCUGAGCGGAUGAUCCGCCACACUGGGACUGAGACACGGCCCAGACUCCUACGGGAGGCAGCAGUGGGGAAUAUUGGACAAGGGGGGGAACCCUGAUCCAGCCAUGCCGCGUGUGUGAAGAAGGCCUUAUGGUUGUAAAGCACUUUAAGCGAGGAGGAGGCUACUCUAGUUAAUACCUAGGGAUAGUGGACGUUACUCGCAGAAUAAGCACCGGCUAACUCUGUGCCAGCCGCCGCCGUAA
rnacentral:rRNA from 1 species